AGUGAACGCUGGCGGUAGGCCUAACACAUGCAAGUCGAACGGCAGCACAGUAAGAGCUUGCUCUUACGGGUGGCGAGUGGCGGACGGGUGCGGAAUACAUCGGAAUCUACUUUUUCGUGGGGGAUAACGUAGGGAAACUUACGCUAAUACCGCAUACGACCUACGGGUGAAAGCAGGGGAUCUUCGGCCCUUGCGCGAUUGAAUGAGCCGAUGUCGGAUUAGCUAGUUGGCGGGGUAAAGGCCCACCAAGGCGACGAUCCGUAGCUGGUCUGAGAGGAUGAUCAGCCACACUGGAACUGAGACACGGUCCAGACUCCUACGGGAGGCAGCAGUGGGGAAUAUUGGACAAUGGGUGCAAGCCUGAUCCAGCCAUACCGCGUGGGUGAAGAAGGCCUUCGGGUUGUAAAGCCCUUUUGUUGGGAAAGAAAAGCAGCAAGUUAAUACCCCGCUGUUCUGACGGUACCCAAAGAAUAAGCACCGGCUAACUUCGUG
rnacentral:rRNA from 1 species